CACAGGGAAACUUAGAGUUUGAUCAUGGCUCAGAUUGAACGCUGGCGGCAUGCCUAACACAUGCAAGUCGAACGGCAGCACAGCAGAGCUUGCUCUGUGGGUGGCGAGUGGCGGACGGGUGAGUAAUGCAUCGGGACCUACCCAGACGUGGGGGAUAACGUAGGGAAACUUACGCUAAUACCGCAUACGUCCUACGGGAGAAAGCGGGGGAUCUUCGGACCUCGCGCGGUUGGAUGGACCGAUGUGCGAUUAGCUAGUUGGCGGGGUAAUGGCCCACCAAGGCGACGAUCGCUAGCUGGUCUGAGAGGAUGAUCAGCCACACUGGAACUGAGACACGGUCCAGACUCCUACGGGAGGCAGCAGUGGGGAAUAUUGGACAAUGGGCGCAAGCCUGAUCCAGCAAUGCCGCGUGUGUGAAGAAGGCCUUCGGGUUGUAAAGCACUUUUAUCAGGAACGAAAUACCACGGGUUAAUACCCUAUGGGGCUGACGGUACCUGAGGAAUAAGCACCGGCCAACUACGUGCCAGCAGCCGCGGUACGCC
rnacentral:rRNA from 1 species